rnacentral:rRNA from 1 species
AUAUCAAUAAGCGGAGGAAAAAGAAACCAACAGGGAUUGCCCCAGUAACGGCGAGUGAAGCGGCAAUAGCUCAAAUUUGAAAUCCGGUCCCCCCCUUUGGCGGGACCCGAGUUGUAAUUUAUAGAGGAUGCUUCGGAUCAGGCGACGGCCUAAGUCCCUUGGAAUAGGGCGCCAGAGAGGGUGAGAGCCCCGUCCCGGGCUACGAGCCGCGUCCAGGUGAAGCUCCCUCGACGAGUCGCGUUGUUUGGGAAUGCAGCGCUAAAUGGGUGGUAAAUUUCAUCUAAAGCUAAAUAUUGGGCAGAGACCGAUAGCGCACAAGUAGAGUGAUCGAAAGAUGAAAAGUACUUUGAAAAGAGAGUUAAAUAGUACGUGAAAUUGUUGAAAGGGAAGCGCUUGCAGCCAGACUUGGUCGGCGGUCAUUCAGCCGUUGGUCUCCAGCGGUGUACUUGAUCGUCUCCAGGCCAGCACCGGUUUGGGCAGCCAGAGAAGAGCGCCGGGAACGUGCCGUCCCUUUACUCUUACCCCUUUAUUGGGGCUAAGGGUCGGACUUAUAGCCCGGCGCAUGAUACGGCUGGCCCGGACCGAGGACCCCGCGCGGUCACGCCGUUGUCUGAUUACUUUUCUCACCCUGAGAAUACCCCCCUUUUUUAGGCGUGUGAUGUCCCGCAAGGGUGCUGGCGAAACGGCUAUAAGCGACCCGUCUUGAAACACGGACCAAGGAGUCUAACAUCUGUGCGAGUGUUCGGGUGAAGAAACCCCGGCGCGUAAUGAAAGUGAACGGAAGGUAGGAUGCCCCCUUUUAGCCGAUCGGGGGUUGCACUAUCGGCCGAUCCGGAUGACAAGCGGAUGGAUUUGAGCAAGAGCAUAGCUGUUGGGACCCGAAAGAUGGCGAACUAUGCGUGUAUAGGGUGAAGUCAGUGGAAACAUUGAUGGAGGCUCGCAGCGGUUCUGACGUGCAAAUCGAUCGUCAAAUAUGCGUAUAGGGGCGAAAGACUAAUCGAGCCGUCUGGUAGCUGGUUCCCGUCGAAGUUUCCCUCAGGAUAGCAGAAACGCAUUCAGUUUCAUGAGGUAGAGCGAAUGAUUAGAGGCCUGGGGGCUGAAACAGCCUUCACCUAUUCUCAAACUUCCAAUAUGUGAGACACCUAUGUUGCUUAAUUGAACGUGGGUACUUGAAUGAUCGCGUUUCUAGUGGGCCAUUUUUGGUAAGCAGAACUGGCGAUGCGGGAUGAACCGAACGUGAGGUUAAGGUGCCCAAAUAUACGCUCAUUAGACACCAAAAAAGGUGUUAGUUCAUCUAGACAGCCGGGCGGUGGCCAUGGAAGUCGGAAUCCGCUUAGGAAAGUGUAACAACUCACCGGCCGAAUGAACUAGCCCUGAAAAUGGAUGGCGCUCAAGCGUAUUACCCAUACCUCACCGUCAGAGUUUUAAGGAUGCUCUGACGAGUAGGCGGGCGUGGGGGUCUGUGACGAAGCUCAAGGGUGACUUUGGGUCGAACGGCCUCUAGUG